rnacentral:rRNA from 1 species
AUGAGACAUUCACUACCUUUGGCAGCAUCUACUGAUUCUGAACUUAAUUUGAAAGACAUAUUUCGAUCCAGACGUUUUUGAUGCUUUUAAUAACUAACCAAUGACAAGUGUUCUUCAUUUUUUAAUCAUAUUUCAAUCGAAACUUUCCGCGUCGAUCCUUUUUUAUUAUGUCUUGUUUUACUCCUAUAUUGGGAGUUACUCUACGUAUUGCUUGAGGUAGAACUAAUAGUGGAUUUGUUUAUGUCUUUUCUUGAAUCUUUUUCACGACUCAAUAGAGAAUUUGAUAAGCCGAUGAUAUUUUUCCGCCUUUCAUAA